GGUUGUUCAAAUAUGAAAUGUGCUGAGCUAAACCAAAUUAGUCAUUACAUCAGAUGUAUGUGACUAAUUAAAAGAGAUCUAAAUCCAUAUUUUCUCACUAAAUAUUAAAUCUACUGGUCUUCCACCAUUGUAGAGAUGCGGGUGCCUUUUCGGCGUUGAUCGUUUUUGACUGGUUAUAGUGGUUCGAUUGCAUCGGAAAGAUACAAUCACUC
rnacentral:lncRNA from 1 species